AUCAAGUUUUCCUUGGGUUUUCCACCUUAAGUGAGAGUUUUAAUUGAUGAGAUGUAACUGGCAGUGCUCCUCAAACUACUACACAUCUGAUCACCUGGGCGUCUUGUGAAAGGGUGGAUUUGACCCAGCAUUCUGGAGUGGGG
ensembl:miRNA